UUGAAGAUGUUUAGUGUCCAUAAUUGAAACAAAGAGUAUGGCAAAGAAUAAAGGAGAUGGCAGAGAAAUAGAAGACAUGGUCAACAAACUCCAUUUGAGUAUAUCAGUAAAGAAGGUCAUGAACGAGGCUAUGUUACCCAAUUCAUGGACCUAGCAUAAACAAAAAGAACUCAAUUUUUAGAAAUAAGAAAAGAUAUCAAUAGAACAAAAAAUAAUUAAAAGUGUGGAGAAGGUCAGUCUUGGACCUCCAAGAGCCUAAUAGUCUAGUUGGUGAGAACAAGAAAAGGUGAUAAAUUUUAUAGUAUGGAUUUCAUGUGGUAGGAAUAAUCACAAGUGUGAGAGUGAU
rnacentral:lncRNA from 1 species